GAUGAACGCUGGCGGCGUGCCUAAUACAUGCAAGUCGAGCGAACAGACGAGGAGCUUGCUCCUCUGACGCUAGCGGCGGACGGGUGAGUAACACGUGGAUAACCUACCUUUAAGACUGGGAUAACUUCGGUAAACCGGAGCUAAUACGGGCUAAUAUAUUGAACCGCAUGUUUCAAUAGGGAAAGAGGGUUUUGCUGGCGCUUAUAGAUGGAUCCGCGCCGCAUUAGCUAGUUGGUAAGGUAACGGCUUACCAAGGCAACGAUGCGUAGCCGACCUGAGAGGGUGAUCGGCCACACUGGAACUGAGACACGGCCCAGACUCCUACGGGAGGCAGCAGUAGGGAAUUUUCGGCAAUGGGGGAAAGCUUGACGGAGCAAUGCCGCGUGAGUGAGGAAGGUCUUCGGAUCGUAAAACUCUGUUAUAAGGGAAGAAAAAAUGUGUAAGUAAAUAUGCACGUCUUGACGGUACCUAAUCAGAAAGCCACGGCUAACUACGUG
rnacentral:rRNA from 1 species